GUCUCUACUCGGAUUGGUUUUGGACCAGAGCAAGGAGCACGGAGCCGAGGCCCUCUUUCCCCCUGCCUUAUUGUUGACUGCCAUUUUCCUUUGUGCCCUAGCAUCGUCGAUUUUUCCUCCGACCUUCCAGGCCGAAGAUGCCGCGAGCCUAGCACCAAUUUAUCUCUCUGUUUAUCGGCAAGAACACACGGGUCCUGGCUUUGGGCAGCGCCACAGUACCAGUUUUCGGAUAUCGAAUUCUUCUUUCUCUCAUUGAUCUGGAUUGGAGAUUAGGGAUUUCAAUCUGCUGCGGCUGAUCUUGGUUCAGCUGAGGGUUUUAAGGAGGAAGCUGUUAAGGACUUUGACGCGAGACGAGCAUCUUGAUGUCGAGUUUGGACCGGAUACGAUUCUUUCC